rnacentral:rRNA from 1 species
GUAGGGUGCGAGCGUUGCUCGGAAUUACUGGGCGUAAAGCGUGCGCAGGCUGUUUUGUAAGCCAGAUGUGAAAUCCCCGGGCUCAACCUGGGAAUGGCAUCUGGGACUGCUGGGCUUGAGUGCGGCAGAGGAAACUGGAAUUCCUGGUGUAGAAGUGAAAUGCGUAGAUAUCAGGAGGAACACCGAUGGCGAAGGCAGGUCUCUGGGCUGACACUGACGCUCAUGCACGAAAGCGUGGGGAGCAAACAGGAUUAGAUACCCUGGUAGUCCACGCCCUAAACGAUGUCUACUGGUUGUUGGGGGUGUGACACUCUCCAUAGCCAAACUUACGCCAGAAGUCCACCGCCUGGGAAGUACGGCCGCAAGGUUA